AGUUGAGCGGAGAUAUAUGGAGCUUGCUUUAUAUAACUUAGCAGCGAACGGGUGAGUAACACGUAGAUAAUCUAUCCUAUACUGGGGGAUAGCCCGAUGAAAGUUGGAUUAAUACCGCAUAUAGCUAUAUAGUUGCAUGAUUAUGUAGUGAAAGAUUUAUUGGUAUAGGAGGAGUCUGCGGCACAUUAGCUAGUAGGUGAGGUAAAGGCUUACCUAGGCGACGAUGUGUAGCCGGUCUGAGAGGAUGAACGGCCACAAUGGAACUGAGACACGGUCCAUACUCCUACGGGAGGCAGCAGUGGGGAAUAUUGCACAAUGGGGGAAACCCUGAUGCAGCAACGCCGCGUGAGUGAAGAAGGUUUUCGGAUUGUAAAGCUCUGUUAGCAGGGAAGAGGAAGGACGGUACCUGCAGAGGAAGCCACGGCUAACUACGUGCCAGCAGCCGCGGUAAUACGUAGGUGGCAAGCGUUGUUCGGAAUAACUGGGCGUAAAGGAUGCGUAGGCGAUUAAACAAGUUAUAUGUUAAAUAUAUAGGCUUAACCUGUAGAAAGCAUAUAAAACUGUUUAACUAGAGUGCAGGAGAGGUAAGUGGAAUUCCUAGUGUAGCGGUGAAAUGCGUAGAGAUUAGGAAGAACACCAGUGGCGAAGGCGACUUACUGGACUGUAACUGACGCUGAGGCAUGAGAGCAUGGGGAGCAAACAGGAUUAGAUACCCUGGUAGU
rnacentral:rRNA from 1 species